GAAAUAGGUCAAUACUAUUUUUCAAGUUCAAGUCCACCGACGUUAAUAUACUCUACUGUCUGGUUUGUUUGCCAGACAAAAAUGGCAGAUUCUGC